rnacentral:rRNA from 1 species
GAUGAACGCUGGCGGCGUGCCUAAUACAUGCAAGUCGAGCGAACAGACGAGGAGCUUGCUCCUCUGACGUUAGCGGCGGACGGGUGAGUAACACGUGGAUAACCUACCUAUAAGACUGGGAUAACUUCGGGAAACCGGAGCUAAUACCGGAUAAUAUAUUGAACCGCAUGGUUCAAUAGUGAAAGACGGUUUUGCUGUCACUUAUAGAUGGAUCCGCGCCGCAUUAGCUAGUUGGUAAGGUAACGGCUUACCAAGGCAACGAUGCGUAGCCGACCUGAGAGGGUGAUCGGCCAGACGGGAACUGAGGCACGGUCCAGACUCCGACGGGAGGCAGCAGUAGGGAAUCUUACGCAAUGGGCGAAAGCCUGACGGAGCAACGCCGCGUGAGUGAUGAAGGUCUUCGGAUCGUAAAACUCUGUUAUUAGGGAAGAACAAAUGUGUAAGUAACUAUGCACGUCUUGACGGUAUCUAAUCAGAAAGCCACGGCUAACUACGUG